CAAGGCUGAAGAUCUCCAAAAAAUCUGGGGUUCGUAAACAUUGAACCAAACACAAGAGGAGUCGGGAACCAUAUUAGGAUUGGCCACCCAUGCCAUAUCAACGAAAACAAUACACCCACUGGGCAGGGAAAUGGAGCAGUGGUAUGACCCCAGUAUGUUCUAUGGGUUUGACCCCUCUAGCUCUUCUUCAUUCUCAUCGUCAUCCUCUCAUGAUACCGACUCCUCGGAUGACUGCUCUUCGUCUAUCCCUGCUAGAGACUCUGGUGCCAUGGGACGUAAGCAGAUUCGACAUCAACAAGAUCCCUCGGUACCGACCAAAUGUAAGAAGGAUUCCCAGUCGGUACCGUCAACCAUUAAGAAAUCUAAGGCGGACGAGCACAAGAACAUCUGUACCAAGCCUAAAGAUCGUAAUACGAGUGAUGCCGAUACGGAUGCCACUGGUACCUAGCCUUAUACUAAGCAUAAGACAAAGACUUCCUCGGCUGCUCUGGUCGAACCCAGGAAGACCACCAAACAACAUCAACACCACUCCCUCUUUGAGGAGUUGGACUAAUCGCACGGUACAGACGCUUCUGGCACCAAGCUCGGUGCCAAGCACAAAAAGAAGAGUUCUUCGGCUACUUCUGCCUUAUCCAUGCAGCCUACCCACCACCACAAGGGUCAUUUCCCCUCCAGCAUGUCUCUAUCUUCAGGACUGGACUCAUAUGAGUCAGACUUGUCGGACUCCUCACCUCAGGAGUCUCCACCCAACACUAACACCCCCGACUCAGAUAUUGGGGAUACAAAUCCCACUUCACCAGCGGCUGACUUCUAACCUGAUCCAACGAAUAGCCAAGGCAUUAGACCUAUUUUUUCAACAACCACCCCAGGUGGAGACAGAUAAAUUCUGUGAAGAUAUUGACGAGGAUCACACCCCUUCUUUGCGAAUCGCCUUCAUCCCUUCCUUGUUACGUUUGCUUAAGCAAGUCUGGGACAAACCCUUCUCGGUACCCCAGACGUCAUGUCUUUAUAAGACGCACGGUACUGAAAUGGAUUUGCUGGCUAAACACCCCCCUCCUAACUCAGUCGUGGUAGAUGUGACACAGGCUAGAUCUCGAACCAGUUCUAACACCACACCCAACAAUAAGGAGGGUAGGAAAAGAGCAUAC
rnacentral:lncRNA from 1 species